UUUUUUUUUUUUUUUGAGACGGAGUCUUGCUUUGUCACCCAGGCUGGAGUGCAGUGGCGCAAUCUCGGCUCACUGCAAGCUCCGCCUCCCAGGUUCACGCCAUUCUCCUGCCUCAGCCUCCCGAGUAGCCGGGACUAUAGGCGCCCGCCACCACGCCCGGCUAAUUUUUUGUAUUUUUAGUAGAGACGGGGUUUCACCGUGUUAGCCAGGAUGGUCUCGAUCUCUUGACCUCGUGAUCCGCCCGCCUCGGCCUCCCAAAGUGCUGGGAUUACAGGCGUGAGCCACCGCGCCCGGCCGGAAUUUUUUUUUUUUAACACAAUUAUGGGAGGCCCUUGUUUUGCACUACACCCCAGCAGACCAAACAAAGCCAAAUUAGAGUCACUAGUGCUAAAUAUGACAUAGUUUGACAGUUUGGGACCUUCAGACAAUCACUUAGCUGUUAGACAAGAUGGCCUAUCUUUGGAAUCAAAGUCAAAGGAGCUGAUGUAAAACUGAAUAGAUUACACACAAAAUAUUCUCACCUAUAGAGUUCUUUACAGACCUAGAUACCAUUUCUAGGAAAACUUUUAAAUGGAGUGUAAUAUCACUGGAACGAUUAGUUCAAAAGCUUUGGAUAUAUUACAGUCACUAGUCACCAAAUUAGAGUCACUAGUGCUAAAUGUGACAUAAUCAAACUAAGACUUUAAGAAAACACAUAGAUCCAAGAACAUACUAGGUUUUGUUUUUCUCCUGAAAUUUACAAUGAUAAUAGUGACAUCAAUGACAAAGUUUUGGUCAAUCUCUCAAAAUUGAGAACAUGACCAAAGGGGGGGAAUUGUUAAAGCAAACUCAAUAUGGCCUGAGAAGGACUUUGCACUUCUGUAUUUGAGUGAGUCCUUCUAGAUGAACUGUAACCUAGCUUAAUAGGCAGACAAGAUUGAAAACCCAACUUAGGAGCAUACACAUAUAACAAGAGCUGAGUUUUGGACAAUCCCAACAGCCAUACUUCACCACUAAUAGACUCGUAAGUGUUCAAACUGUGUUCAAAUAAGGCAAACACCAACUUGUAACCAAUCCAUCUAUUUCUGUACCUCACUUCCGAUUUCUGUACACCACUUCCCUUUUUUUGUCUAUAAAUUUGUUCUGACCACAAGGCAUCCCUGGAGUCUCUCUGAAUCUGCUGUGAUCCUAGGGGAUGCCUGAUUUGAUAAUUUUUUCAUUCCUCAAUUAAACUCCUUUAAAUUUAAUUCUGCUGAAGUUUUUCUUUUAACAUGAGUAACUGAGAAUUAUUAGGGUAACACUCAAGAGGUUAUCAUGAACGUAUUAGGAUAUAUAAACAGAGUCAACUUGAAUGUGCAUAGGUUGCAAAAACAGAGCUUAUAGAGAAUUAUGAUAGACUACUGUUGGAAUUUGGCUAUUUUCCUCCUAUGUCCUUCUAUCAAACCCAUUUUGUCGUCUUGAAAAAGUGUCUAUUUUCUGGGAUCCUAGUGCAAGUAAGUUCCUAUCUUGACCAUGCUUCUGUAGAGCUCCCAUAUUUUAGAUAAUGUAACAUUCCAUAAUAAUCAAAAGGGUAAAAAAUCUAAUCAUUUUUUAAUUAUGUGCUGGUUUUCGUUUAUUUUUUCCCAGUCUAAACUAUAUAGCAGAAAGCAUUCUAGGAAAAUAUAUCCAAAGCUUUUGAACUAAUGGUUCCAGUAAUAUUACACUCCAUUUAAAAGUUUUCCUAGAAAUGGUAUCCAGGUCUGUAAAGAACUCUAUAGGUGAGAAUAUUUUGUGUGUCAUCUAUUCAGUUUUACUUUAGCUCCUUUGACUUUGAUUCCAAAGACAGGCCAUCUUGUCUACCAGCUAAGUGAUUGAUUGUCUGAAGGUCCCAAACUGUCAAAUUCAGAGUAUCACAAUAAAACUUAUUUCCUGUAGUUCACCAAUCUAAUUAACACAAUCUAAUUAACAUAACCAAUCAGCUUUAUAAACUAUCAAUCAUUAAACAAUAUAGAAUAUCCAAGAUCUUUUUGCCUGAGAACAAUCUCAACUUCAGCUGUUUGUCCAAGCUUGCCUUUGCUUGGCUUUGGCGAGGCCUCAAUUUCAUCAAAUCUUUUAUAUUUGUACUUAGUGAAGGUUUCUUUUUCUAGCAACCAAAAUUAUGAUUCUUCAAUACAUAACUAGAUUUUAAGUUAUAGCAAAAGCACAACCAUCUAGAGUCUCAAGUCAAAAGGAUGGUUCAGUACUUUUAACUCAUAUUUGUGUGUGUGUGUGUAUAUAUAUAUAUAUAUAUAUAUAUAUAUGUAAUAUUAGUACAGUGAGACCUGCAUUUAGUUAAUAAAAAAUAGAUGCAAAUGAAGAAUGUGCUGGCUUAUUUACAAAAUAAAUGUAUAAAAAUAUUGUAAGUUCAGGAUAUAGAGAAGAAGAAAUAAUAACACAUUAAAAAAUAAAGUGGAAGUGCAGGUUAAAAAAAUCACUUUAAUAUCUUUUAAUAACUGUUAACUGCUUUUCUUAUAUAGGAUUUUGUACAGUUUUCUUAAUACUUUUCUUUACAGUUUAUAUAUGUGGUCCUGUAUCCCUAGUAAUAUUCUAUAUCAUUUUAGAACAGGACAUUUAUUCUAUCCUUCUCGGUUUAAAACUUAAACAUUUGGAUGUUUGUACCACAAUUAGUAACUGAAUACAGAACAGAAUAGUUGUUACAAUGCAAUACAAACAGCCUAAAACUCUUACUGGCUCACAAGAACAAAGGUUUAAUUCUAGAUCCCACUAUACAUUCAUUCUGCGUGAACUGUGAAUUUGUUCCAUGUAGAUAUUGCAUAAGAGAGAAGUUGUGCAUGGGAAACCUUCUGCAGGCUCUUUUUCUUCAUAAGUAACACUUGUUACUGACUCUCACAUUUCAUUAGAUUAAUCAAGACAAAUGACCAGAUGUGGUGUCAACAUGUCUAGAAAGUACAAUUUACUCAUAUCAAGGAAAGUAACAGAAGAGAGAAAAAUAAGGAUUUUGAGAAACAUACAAUCUACCACAAAUUAUAUUAGCUGAAACCAUUUACUUAAUUCCUCCAAUUCGCAAAGAAUCUAUUAGACAGAAAUGCAAGUAGCCACAUAUGUGCAAACAUCUAUCACAAUAUUUGACAUAUUGUGGACACUCAAUAAAGUUAUCUUCCCUUCUACAUUUACUAUUCUAAAAUAAUUUACUUCCAUGUGGUAGGUGCUCAAAACUAUUUUAUGUGAAGACAAUAAUUAUGAAGUUACAUCCAUUUCAUACAUGCACCUCAUCUACAUAUGCCAGAAUAAAUCACAGUCUUUGUUGUUGAAUGAGUUCUAUCUGAUGGCAGAAAUAAAUUUAUAUUGUCUCAUUUAUGCUAUUUAUUACAUUUCUAUAGAUUAUAACUCGCAGUCAUGGAUGUUCCCCCAAAAAGGAGAGCCUUAGGCAAAAGCCUGUAUUUUGCCACUCUAUUGAGGAAUGCAAUUCCUAGAAUUCAAAAGCGAGAGGAAAGGAGAAUGAGUCAAGAAGAAAAUCCUAUUGCAGAGAGAGAUACUGUCUGCACUGUGAAAGAGGGGUGAAGUGAUUGAUUACUCAACUUUGCUACAGACUCCAGGACCAGUUCUGCCUCAGUGAACCCUGGCAACAAACCGUUCCUCUCAGACACAGUCUCCAAGCUAGCCCUGACAGCCUCAGGUUCCAGGCCUGCCUCUGUGCCAGGUCAGUGCCCACAGCCCUAGGUUCCAGGGUAGCCCCCAUGGAUUCAGGACACAGGUCCACUAUUGUAGACUGAGAUUUCCAACCCCCACCCCGCCACACCCAUCCAGGAAACAAUAAAGAAAACAAUCUUAUUUACAAUCACAUUAAAAAAUACUUACAGAUAAAUUUAACCAAGGAGGUAAAAAUAUCGAAACAUGUGAAAGUAUGUAACAUUGAUUAAAAAAAUUUAAGAUGACACAAAUAAAUGAAAGAUAUUCCAUGUUCAAAAAUUGGAAGAAGUAAUAUUAUUAAAAUAUCCAUAGUAUCCAAAGCAAUCUACAUAUUCAAUGCAAUUCCUAUCAAAACUCUGAAGAUAUUUUUCCCAGAAAUAGAAGAAAAAAAUUCUAAAAUUGUUAUGAAACCAACAAGGAUCUCGAAAGCAAAGCAAUCUCCAGUAAAAAUAACAAAGGUGAAGGUAUCAAAGUAUCUGAUUUCAAAAUAUAUGACAAAGGUAUAGUAAAGAAGAAUGGCACUACCAUAAAAACAGCCACAUAGAUUAAUGAAACAAAAUAGAAAGCCCAGAAAUAAAUUCAUGCAUUUACAGUCAAUUCAUCUUUGACAAAGUUUUCAUUAAUACACAAUGAGGAAAAGACAGUCUCUUGAAUAGUGUCAGAAAAAUUAGAUAUCCACAUGCGUAAGAAUAAAAUUGGACCUUUAUAUUAUACAACACACAGAAAUAAACUCAGAAAGACACAUAAGACCCAAAACUAUAAAACUCCUGAAUGAAAACACAGAUAAAAAGCUUCUCGACAUUGAUCUAGGCAAUGAUUUUUCAAUAGGACUCCAAAAGCAGAGGCAACUAGGGCAACAAUAAACAAAUGGGAUUGCAUCAGAUAAAAAGCUUCUGCACAGCAAAGACAAUCAACAAAAUGAAGAGACAACUUACAGAAUGGGAGAAUACAUUUGCAAAGCAUACAUCUAAUAAAAAGUUAAUAUCCAACAUAUGCAAGGAAUUCAAGCAACUCAAAAGAAAAAAACAAAACAUUCUGAUUGAUUUAAAAAUGGGCAAAACACCUGAAUAGACAUCUCCUAAAAGAAGACAUACAAUCAGCCAACAAACACAUGAAAAAAUGUUUAACAUCUCUAAUUAUAAAGAAAAUACAAGUUAAAACUGGAAUGAGAUAUCACUUCACACCUGAUACAAUGGCUAUAAUCAAAAAGAAAAAUGAUAAAUAUACAAUGGCUAUAAUCAAAAAGAAAAAUGAUAAAUGUUGGCUUAAGAUAUAGAGAAAAAAUAACCUUUUUGUACAUUGUUAGUGGGAAUGUAAAUUAGUAUAUACAUUAUAGAAAUAUUUGAAAAUUGAACUGCUAUAUAAUUCAUCAAUGCCACUUCUGGCUACCUAUUCAAAGGAAAUAAAAUCAAUAUCUCAAAGACGUAUCUGCAAUUUCAUGUUUAUUACAGCAUUAUUCACAAUAGCCAAAAUGUGGAAUUAGGAUGUGUAUUGUCAGAUGGUGAUAAUGAGUAAUGCAUUGAUAUUGUUGGAAACCAAUGUUCUUACUGUUGUAAAGGGAAACUGGAGAGAAGCAAGGAAGUAAUGCAGUGAUAAAAUUUAAUCCAUAUAAACUGAUAAUUUUUAAAUGAUUAUAUUUAUUUUUUAGUUUUGAUACCAAAUGGGUAUCCAAAUCAAUAAUAGCUAAUUCACAAUGGACUUAUGUAAUGUCUGUAUAUGGGGUUUUGAACACGAACACCAUUUUCUACUAAAAGGGACCAGGACUCCUUUAUGAGUUGGCUGAUUCCAGGUUGUGUAGAUAAUACAAGGUAAUCCUGGAAUGUCAAGUUAGGUCUAUAAACAAGAAAAUAUUUAGAGCAAAAAUAAACAACUCAUUAGAAGAGAUAGAAAACAAAAUUUAAAAUAGUACAGGAAAAAAGAAUGUAUAUGGGAAAUCAUAACGUGGAGACACAUCAAAAUAACGCAGGUACUAACUUGAAAGAAUUACUGCUAGCUGAAUGUGGGAUAAUUUGAACAUCAAAAGAGAUAAUGAGUGUACUGAUUUUAAGCUUAAAACCAGUACUGAAGCAACUGAUUGACUAAAUUAUGGCACACUCACACACUGAAGUACCAUACAACUCUGUAAAAAUAAGAAAAAUCUUUAUGGAUUUUAGGCUUAAAACCAGUACAGUAAUUACUUAAGAAAUGCAAGAAUAAACAAUUCCACAGUGAUAAUAUUAAAAGGAGUUAUUUUUUUCUAAAGAAUCCAGCUAAUAAUAUAGAAUGAAUAUCAUGAUUUUACAAUCACUUUGCAAAUCAUGAUGCAGGCAAAGAAAAAAAAUACCCACAGAUUCUUGAAGUUACCCCACAGAUUAGUUACUAAUUAAAAUAGAAGAAAGGUGAUUUCAUAAUGGAGAAAUCUGAUAGACAAUAACUUAACCAAGCAAUUAAACAACAUUAUAAAUAAUGGAAUUAAACUGAUACAGAAUACAUUCUGUGUCUCUUGAUGUAAUUCAUUGGAAAGGCAGGGUAUCUCUAUGCAGAACUUUGCUAAAAAUAUUUAGCCAGAAUUUAGUAAUUAGAAAAUAAUAACAGACCAGGCACAGUGGCUCAUACCUGUAAUUUGGGAAGCCGAAGCAGGAGGAUCACUUGAGGCCAGGAGUUUGAGGGCAAUAUAGCAAGACCAUGUGUCUAAAAAUAUAAGAUAAAAUAAAAUUAGCUGAGCAUGGUGGUGUGAACCUAUAGGUCCAGCUACUUAGAAGGCUGAGGCAGGAGGAUCACUUGAGCCCAGGAGGUCAAGGCUGCAGUAAGUUGUGAUCAUGCCACUGUGUUCUAGCCUAGUUGACAGAGAAAGACUAUGUCUCAAAAAAAAAAAAAAAAAAAAAAGACA